rnacentral:rRNA from 1 species
AAUUAUUUAUAGCCUCUGGCUAUAGGAAAUUGUUAGUGGCAGACGGGUGAGUAAUGCGUAGGAAUCUACCUAGUAGUACGGAAUAGCCAUUAGAAAUGGUGGGUAAUACUGUAUAAUCCCCGAGGGGGAAAGAUUUAUCGCUAUUAGAUGAGCCUACGUUAGAUUAGCUAGUUGGUGAGGUAAUGGCUUACCAAGGCUAUGAUCUAUAGCUGGUCUGAGAGGACGAUCAGCCACACUGGAACUGAGAUACGGUCCAGACUCCUACGGGAGGCAGCAGUGGGGAAUAUUGGACAAUGGGCGAAAGCCUGAUCCAGCUAUGCCGCGUGAGUGAAGAAGGCCUUCGGGUUGUAAAACUCUUUCAAUAGGGAAGAUAAUGACGGUACCUAUA